rnacentral:tRNA from 2 species
GCGCCCGUAGCUCAGCUGGAUAGAGCACCAGACUACGAAUCUGGGGGUCAGGAGUUCGAAUCUCUUCGGGUGCGCCA